AUUUCCAUCGGAUGCGGCAUUCUCCCGUUGCGACUCAGCAUUUCUGACACCCGACUGCAGCUUCUCUUUCUCAUUUGAUCAUUUUCUUGGCACAGCUGGUGAGUGUAAUCUGUGAUCCAGUGAAGACUAUCUGGAGAAACAGGAGUGCCACAGAGCAGGACACAAACCUCUCAUGCUGUCAAGUGAGUCAAUGGGCCACAGGCAACUCCACCGAUAUAAGUGCAUGGAAGAGAAAAAAGAGUUGCCAGAGAAGAAAGCAGUCUUCGGAAUUGAAAUUUAUGUGCAGCGUGGAAAGCGUCCAUCAAUGCUGCUGCAGGCCUUCUGGUGAGCAGGCCUGUGGAAACCUGGUGGUUUAGAGACUGGAUGGCUAAGAAACACUGCUGCACUCUGCCUCAGUACAAUCCUUUUGAUCAGCUUUCUGCCUGCUUUGAACCACAGACUCUCUGACAAGACUCAGGCCACAGUUCUGUCCCACUCUACCCCUCUUCCCCCCAUCGUCUUUUCCAACUAAGGAGCUUACACACUGCUGAAGACUUCAGGGCUCAGAUCUCGCUAUCUCCACUACUGCACUUCAGUCUUGCCCCCUGGAGAGUUAUCACUUUUGUUAUUGCCAAGAUAAUUAAAGGGAAGCCAACUUCAUAUAUCAGCUGCUCCUUUGCAAAGCUUCAUGCAUGGCUUUUCGCUUGUUCAGGGAGAUUCCUCUUCCCCAUUAGCUGAAUGACUGAUGUGAGUUCGUUCCCUUUUCUCUGAGGCAUCACAUCGUGAUAACAGCAUGAGAUUAUAACCCUGUGGUCCAGUGGUCAAAACCAAUGUUCCUGUGAUGUGAUCUUCUUCUUGUAUUCCUGCUUGGCCUCUGUCGUCAGGCUGUCUAACUGUCAUAUCCCCUUCUCUGUCAGUGAUUUUCAGCUGCUUGUUUCCUGCUACCCCUUCUUUGCCCCAUGAUUAAAGUAUCUGUGGGAGUUACUGGCUCUGGGACUGUCAUCACAGGCUUCAAUAAGUAUGUGGUGAUGUGGCAAUGCACCACCUUGCAGUAUGGGGAUACAGCAUAAGAAACAGACAGGGGAAAAAGUGGUGAACUAAACUCCAGCAAAGGUUGUGUCUGCUCAGGGACAUGGUGGCAGGCAGCAACAACAUCUGUGUGUGUUUGUAAUUUUAUAUGGCUCCUCUGUGGUGGUCUCCUACACUGCAUUCCACCAGGUGGGAGAAUCUGCAAGGGUAAAAGUCAAUCUCAGAGGCGAGACUCUAGAACUUCUCUCUUUCAAUUAUGAAACCUACCCAGCUGUCACCAGCUUUUUGCUUGUAGCUUUGGUUGCAACUGAUCUGUUCCUAAAACUAGGGGCAGAUGUGACUAAGACAAUAAUAAUGUCUUUACUCCUCUUCCCUCUGUAAGAAGGAAAAAUGGUCUCAGCUUGGAGGUGGGGAUCCAACUGGACAAGGUGAGGAGCAGAGUGAGGCUCCCUGUUGAAGAAAGUCUGUCUUGCUCUGUGGAUACUUCUGGUCUCUCACUUUUAGAAAAUGUCCUGAGCCCAGGAAUAUCUCUGCAGAUAGACACUAAUUAGACUCUUAAUAUCCUUUAGGCUGGAAAAGACUUUUGGGAUCAUCAAGACCAACCAUUAACCUAACACUACCAAGUUUAACACUAAAUCAUGUCCCUAAGUGCUACAUCUACAUGUCUUUUAAACACCUUCAGGGAUGGUGACUCAAACACUUCCCUGGUAAGCCUGUUCCAAUACUUGACAACCCUUUUCUUGAAGAGAUUUUUCCUAAUAUCCAAUCUAAACCUCCCCAGGCACAACUUGAGGCUAUUUCCUCUUGUCCUAUUGCUUGUUACUUUGGAGAAGAGGCAAACUCCCACCUCACUACAGCCUCUUUUCAGAUAGUUUUAGAGAGUGAUAUGGUCUCCCCUGAGUCUCCUUUUCUCCAGGCUAAACCACUCCAGCUCCAUCAGCCAUUCCUCAUAGGACUUGUGUUCCAGACCAUUCACCAGCUUCUUUGCCCUUCUCUGGACAUCCUCCAGCACCUCAGUGUUCUUCUUGAAGUGAAGAGCCCAAAACUGAACACAGGAUUCGAGGUGCAGUCUCACCAGUGCUGAUGACAGGGGGAUGAUUCCUGCUCUAGUCCUGUUGGCCACAUUAUUUCUGAUAGAACUUCCCCAGGUUUUCAAAGGUUUUGAAGAUGGAGUGUAUGAUAUGAGUACAAGUUUGUGCUUUCUAGCCAGCAGUUUUUCUCAUGAACAGGUCUAGAUGGCAUACAAGUACACAGCAGUACCAUACAUGCACCAUACUGUGACUAUGAGCAAAAACAGUUCCUGCAGGCUUACAAGCACAGCAUAUCUCCCCAGCCAAACCCAGAGUCCAGGGAAGCCUUUCUCUGUCUUGGAUUUCAAUGAAGCCAGAAUUUUGCCCCCACAUCAACUUCCAUCAGAAUAAUCUUUUUUAAUCCUCCACACUACUCUUUAGCCACCGUGCAUCCCAAACCAUCUGUCUGACCAGUUCCUUCCUCCCAUUUAAAUUGCUGUCCGUCUUCUGCAAAGAAUCACUUAACCACAGCUUUUUCAUUCUGUGAUUAUUUUAGGUAUCCAUAACACCUUUUGUAACCUGUCUGGUUAUGUCAGCCUAGACCAUGUCUCUGUGUUUAUUGCAAUUCCUCUCCCAGAUUGUGUCCCAAUGAUUUUCUUUCCUCUCCAUUUCCCCUGUAGUAAGAUUCCAGGUUUCUGAGGGGAACCUAUCUAGAGGAACUCCAACCAGCAGGAUUGGGUUUACCAGAAAGUUCGGACUCACAUCUACCUCUCAAGGGGGAGUGCCCCCACUAUUCCUUGAUGCCCCAGCUGAUGUCUAUGGGAAUGACCAUGAGUGCCCACAGAAGCAUCCCACAGUGCCAUCCCACCCAACCCUUUGCCUUCUUUCCAGAAAAUCUGGCUGGAUCACAGACCUGCAGUGGGCACCAAGAAAAGCUGCCCCGAAGGUUGCCUUUAAAGCUGUGAACUGAUGAUGUUGUCAGCACAUAGUGUUCAUUCCCAAGUCAUGAAGUUUAUUCUGGGACCACUUGAGAGUUUCAAAGCUCUCCCCUUGCCAGGAAAAUAUCUGUGCUGUUGAGCUCUCCUUCAGAUUCUCUCCACAUGCCAUAAAGGAAAUGUUCAGAAACCUAAUCUGAGGGGGAUCGGGCUGUGAGUUCUCCUUGUCUGCGUCAACUUCAUGAGGCACGAAAUCUGAGGGUGCUGUAGGAAUCAGGUAGCCUUUGUAAUGCACACCAGCUGUGUCAUGUGCCUCCAGCAGGGAGGCAAGCUCUCAUGUGUUCCUAUUGCUUCAGACUUCACUCUUGCUGGUACCCUGCUCACUUAGAAGGACCCUAUCACCUAUAGACUGCUGCUAAGUGAGCAAAUAGGAAUGACAUGUUCUUCCCUUGGCGUAAGAGUGAGAGAUGAAGGAUGGUCUUGUGACUGAGACAUUGAGCUGUGACUCAGGAAAAAGUUUCUGUUCUCAUCUCUGUUGCUCAAUUCUUGUGUGACCUUGACAAGUCACAGUUACUGUCUCAGUUCCUGUCUUUGAUCUGGGGAAGGUAACGCUUUCUUGCUCCUUUGUCUACCCUGUGUCAGUGCUUCACUUUUUAUACCACAGACUGCCCUCCACAGUAUCUUCGUGUGUCAUCUAGUACAGCUAGUUAGCCCUUAAUUCUAGGUGAGCCUUUAGGUGCUAUUAUGAUAUCCCUAAGCAGGAACAGGAGUGGAGCCUAGUGCAUGCGUGGGCCAUGCACUGAUCCUGACAGCUGCUUGCUGGUCCUGUUCUAUUGGUGCAUUUUGACUCAGCAGAGGCUAUCACAGUCCCUUGAGCAUGAACCCCUUGGUCUGAGCUACAAAUAACUACCACAGCCUCAAAAAGAUAAACACCAGGUGCUAAACAUUCACUGUCAGAUGCUGCAUUGUAAGUGAAGGCAGAUAGUUAACCUACUUUGUGUACCUCAUCCAGGAUGUCAAGAUGUGCUCUCAGUUCUGCUGACACAGAUCUGAGGAGAUAAGCUAAAUCAAGCUACAUAACCCUCAUGACAGAGGACGUAUGUGCCAUCAUUUGGAAGGCCACAGAAGUGCCAAAUGCCUGACAGUAUUUGGAAAGGAGAUGACGGUAGCAAAGCAAUGUCUAUUUUGGAAAUUAUAUAUAAAAUUCCUAUAAUUGUAUGGGGGGGGGUCUAAAAAAAGGAAGCCACUCCUGCAAGACAGGCAGCACACAGAAAUCAGGUAGGAGAUGAAGGGAAAAUAUGUGCCUGUGCAGAAGAGAGACAUUUCUUCAGUAGGACAUACCUAUUGGUAGGCUCUUUUUGGGCCAUAUGAUCCCAAGUUAAAUCAGCUAUUGAGAGUGACUUAUGUUGUCAGAAAUCAACAGGAAGGUAAAGCCCUGUAUAAAUGAGUACCAGAAAAAAAAAUAGUUUAAGGAUGUGAUUCUGUAAGAUCUUGUUUCAGGAUCAAAAGCUGGGUCAGCUCUUCUACAUCCUGAACAGAACAAGAGUUAUGGGAUGGAAUAAGGUGAACUGGGAGGGGAAAACUAAAGGGAGAACAAUAGAGAAAGAUCUAGUGAAGAAAAUGAAUAGAAAUAAGGAAUAGGGAUGAGAAGGUUUGAGACAAUGGGGGGAAGGAAUGAAGUAAGUAAGUUAGUUAGGGAAAGGAAAAGAUUAAAAAAACUGAGAGGAGCUGAAAAGACAGAUUUUUAGUGGCCUCUGGUGAUGCUUUUGUUGAGCCAGCUGUACCCUGAAGCAUGCCUUGAAAGACGUAUCUGUGGCCCACCUGGUAGGCCUUGGAGAGGAAUAUCUUAUAUAUUCCUCUUACCUUUUGAUCUAGAUGGGGGGGAGGAUAUUCCUAAGGCUCAGUUUUUUCUUUAGGAUCCCUGAGCACCAGGGCAAGCUAAAACCAAAUGCUUUUCCCAAACAUGCUUAUAAAGAGUAACAUUUUUUCAAUGCUCUGAAUUCCUUAAACUCCUGUCUCUGAUUUGAAUAAUCCCUACAAAACUAUGUGACUUCAGGUAUAUCUAACAGCAAAGGCAGAUUUAGGGAAUGAAACAGCUUUACAGAGAACAGCUUUACAGGCUCUUCCUGUUGUUUUUAUAGGCCAGUUUGAAACUCACUGCUGGCUUAGAUCUAGUGUGACGUUAUCUUUGUUUCAGUUUUCUCCUAGGCCAGCCAGUUGCUGAUUCUUCCAACUCAGAAUAUGCUCUGUGUGUGUGUGAUUCCUCAAGAGCUGUGGCAAUUAUCUUCAGAUUUCCUUAAUUUAAUGCGAGUUUCUCAGUAAUUAGAGGUCCUAUGUCAGAGUUAUGGGCUUAACCAAAGGUCGACUUUCCUUUUAUUGAGUUAGUGUGUGCUUUCCUGAUGGCUUCUGAGAAGAGCUUUAGAAUGUGAAAGUUAGAGAUUUGAAAGCCAGGGGGGUAAAAUUUAAAUAAUUCCAUCUUUUGGAAAAAUAGUUUUACAUGAAUACAAUCCUUACUAGUUGCCUAAUUUGUGAUUUUUAAAAAGAUUGUGUUUUUCAGAGAUUCAGAAAAGGGAAAAUGAGAUGGUAGCCAGUGUAUUUGUGUAAUAAAAUUUCUGCAGGAUUUUAAGAUAGUUGAGGCAAGAAAUGUGCAAUACAAACUCUCAGGUUGAUUUAUUUCAGUGUAUUUUCUUCCCAAAAGCUUUUCACUUUGAAACAGAGUGGCCAAAACCAGUGAAAAACUUCACAAAAGUAACUCACUAAUGACAGUGAAGAUGAGGGCUUCUUAGCAUCAGGCAAUCUGCAUAGAUAAAAACUCUUCUGUUUCCUGAAUGAAUCACAAUGGGAUUGCACCUGUGCCCUGGUAUUUCCAUCAGCACACCUCCAGCUUUUAAAGAAGCCUUAAAAUGUGGUAGCAUGCUGUGACAAUGUGUCAGAAAUUGUGCUGCCCAGUCCCAGGAGUCACCUUUGCCUCUGAUUCCAGCAGAGGCCCCUGGUAACGUGCAGCAACAUUGCUUCACACAUACAGGUGUUUUGCUUGACCUUCCAGGCAAGCAGCAAUGUCCAACUCAAGUUAAUCUUUGGCUGCUGUAGCAAAACCUUAAAAUAGUUCAUGACUAAAUUAGCAACUUCUAUUUACUGUUGCUUUUACUACAGCACAAUUCAUUAAUAACCCAUAAGAGCCUUCACUGUGAAAGCACCCCACUGGCUGUUGGGAGCUACACCACAGAUUAUAGAAAUACAAUUGCAGAACAAUAACCAUGCACAUAGCUUGAGUCCUGGCUCUAUCCACCAUGCCUGACAUAUCCAGCCUGUAAAUCUAGACAGCAUCUAGGAACUUCCAUGGUCUCAGUCCCCCCAAGCCCCCAGGAGCAGCCAGCCAGUGUCUUCUCACCUGCCUGCAACCUGCCAGCAGCCCAGGGCCAUUGUCCUGUCGAUGCUACAGUGCUCAGUCAUGAGCCCUCGGACAGGAGUGAAGUGCUGUCGGCCAGGGGGUUGCUCGGUAGUGGAGGCAUGGAGCUAGGACAUGGCACUUGGCCCAGCAGAGUCUUUCUUAUUUUUGCUAACACAGACUUAGCUGCCCUUGACACAAGGGCAAGUUGACUGCUGUGUUACUAUUUCUCCUGCGUGUAGGUUCUCAAAGGCUCCUCUUCCGCUUCCAUCUGGUUCCGGAUAGGAACAUACCAGCCUCUGAAUGCAAGGCUGAUGAAACCUGGUCCUUCCUUGCAACAUGAAGUGUAUGGUAAUAUAAUCAAUAGAAGGGACUGCCCAGAAUAGCAGGGGUGCAAAAAUAGUAUGUCCUCUGCGUAUGCUUUCCCUGUGGCACUCUCCUGUUCCACAAUAUAGGCAAGGCAGUGGUCUCUCUUGUUUCAUUGCUUGUGCAUAGAUCACUGUAGAUGGUCAGGCACCAUGUCAAAUACUCCCCAUCUGCCAAGAACCCAGAGUCUGUGGCUCCUGUGCAGUCUGCAAAACUAGAAGUUAAACCCGCUGGGCAACAAAAAUAGAUGCAGUUGCUCAGCUAGAAGACUAGACCCACUACCAAGGAAGAAAUGAAAGAUUACAGAAAUUAAAAGCAUUUAUCUUAAAAGCCCAUUGGACAGAAUUCCCCAGGUUAUUUGGCACCACGCGCAGUCUCCAUCACAACAGCACCUACACAAGCUGUAAUCAGGACCAUGUGGUCACACUGGUGGCUUCUUUCCACAUCUCACUGGCUGCAGUGCAGUAAUAACAACACCUCUUGCAUUUCAUGUUUUCUGCAGCCUUAGGAUCACCAGCAGAAAACAAAAUGGUGUAAAGAGGCUCUAUCACUGUGACAAAGCUGAUUUAUGACCUAAAGGUAAUAUCAGGACAGAUCUAAAUAAUAAUUUUGGUAUGUGCUUGACUCAAGCCCUGCAACCAUAUACACUGCUUCCCUGCUGGUGCUAAUCUGGGCCCAUUCUGGCAUUUUUCUGGCUCCCCUUGGUGUACUUGAGGGCUGCCACCACAGAGAGUAUAGGAGUGUCCUGAAAAAAGAGGGAGGAGUGCAUCUAUUCAAGCCCAGAGAGAAGGACGCAGAAACAACACUCGACGAGAAUACAGAAGUCCCAGUAAAGAGAGAGAAAGCAUAAAGAAAUUAGCAGUUUUAUGGUAUAGGGCUGAAGCUCUUGGAACCAAGGAUUUAUGAUGUCUCACCAAUUAUGAGAAGGACGAACUUUUUAUCUCAUUUAAUUGUUUCUAAAUACAUGGUAUAUUAUGACAAGACUCUCUUGGCAGUGGAUUUGUAUGAAUAAUGUGGCUGUACUCUACCCAAGUAAAUUAUAUUUUGUUCUUAAACAUUCCCAAAUGGUGUUUGUGCAAUUCUGGAGUCUCAAAAUGCUACCUGCCUGGCACAAGUUUGGAUGCGGCAAUCAAAAGGAAGUGAUUCACGCUGGAAGACAGGAAACCCUCUUCAGGACUGCAAGAAUGUGGAGAUUCCAGGGCUGAAGAAACUUCACCCACUGUGGGUCUGUAGCUGCUUCUUGGUUGACAGCAGCUGUUAGAUAUUGCAUGACAUCAUGACAGACCAAAUUGCUUCAGGAAAAAGAAAACUGUCAAGCAGAUGCUGCUAGGACAUUCAUGGUGGGAGGAAGUACUAGGAAUUUUUAUUUAGGUACAUCAUUUCCAAUAGUGACACUCCAGAAAAGGCAUCUUUAAAGAGCUGGUCUGUUGUUGCUUUUACGGUGCAUCGAAAGCAUCUUUGGAAGUGUAAGACUGCAGGAUACCAUGUGAGAGCAUUGGAUCAACCUUUGAGCAGGGUUUUCUUCAAGGUCUCCCAUCCAAAUACUAACAAGUGAAACUCAAUAAGAAUGAACAAGCAAGACCACAGAAAAAUGGAAUAAAUAAGUUCUUUCACUGCUAACAGGAAAAACAGAGAGGAUGCUGUGGCAACUUGAAGCUUCUGGUGUGACUAAGGUAAUUAAAGCGGCCCAUAUGGAUUUCAGACCACCCACCUACCCACCCCAGCCCUUAGUCAAGUCAAAACAAAGCAUUACAUUUUUGAAGAGUUGCAGCUAUGGAAAAAAUACAGGUCUCUAAAAGGCUUGUUAUUAGACACUGCCAAGAUAGUUUUGUGAUGAUCAUUUCUGUUAAUUUGGCAGCAUAAAUAUCAGAGUUUUUAUUAUAGUGCAUAAUGUGAGGUGGAGACUCUUUGGCAGGUAUUCCUCUUCAGGGCUUGUCUCUCAGGCGUAGGAGAUGCAGGUGGCAGGGCAUGGUGGCAUCUUCUCAGAGUUGCCAGUUUUCACACAUUCAUCUCAGUGAGCCAGACUGUCCUCUCUACAAUGUGAUAAACUGGGAAUAAUCCCAUAGAAAUCACUGGUAUAGAGCCAGCGUGAGGUCAUCACUAGGAAUGUGAGGUCACAGGCAUCUUUUCCAUAUAGAGUAGCAACAGACAGUCUGUUCCCAGACAGCUGAGUUUCUAUGGGUAUACAAAAGAAUCCGUGGCCUCUGGCCAGGACUACUGCUCCUGCACAUUACAGAUGGUCCACUGUGAAAUUUUUUAACCUGAGUGAUCUAAGAGCCUAAUUGCCAUCUACAUGCAAGAUUGGACUCCUAAGAAAUUUGUGCCAUGACUACAGUUAGGAGAUCUACAGCUGCUAGAUUUCUUGUUUUGGAAGCAGUGCUUUUAUCAUAUCCCCAAAGAUGGUACUUUCCCCAAAUGUGGCUUGUUGGCUGAAGUGCCCAGUGAGGGUCAGCCAGUGCUGUCCUUGGAGCCUGAUGCAGGCCAUGUGGGACAUCUUUGCAGAGCAUUCCUGGAGGCUGUUGCAAUACUCGGUAGUGGGAUUGUUGUGCCAAAUUCUCCUGGCUUUAUCUUCCACAGGCCUUCUUUCAGUAUAACAGCACCUGUGGUUUUCUGCCCCUGAAGGUCUUGAGGUCCCAGUACACCUCUGUCCUCACACUUCUAUUUGGGCACAUCAUCCUUUUACCUUCUACUCUUAUGGGAUUCCUCUUUCAUUAGCCAGAAACUUUUGAAUAGGAUGAGCUCUAAGACACAAUCUACAUCACACUGGGUUUGGGUUUUUUUUCAUGCCCAAGUAUGACAAAACUACAUGAGGAGUUGAGCAUUUCAAGGAUACACUGUUAGGAGUGAUUAGUUUAAAAAAAAAAAAAAAAAAAGAAAAGAGACAAUAGAAAUGUUAGGUUCAUACCAGGAAUCAAGAAAAGUUAUUGGUUUUUAUUUCUAAAUAUUUUCUGUAAUCAUCUGGGGGAGAUGCAUGGAGGUGUUUUCCUGUCUUUGGAAUUUCUCAGCUUCACAUUAUCCUUGUUGUCCUAGCUGUCACCUUGCAGCAACAAAGUAGGGAAGAUUGAUAAGGUAAGUCCCAGCUGAAAAGCAAAGGAAUGUGGCAGGAAGUGUUGCUCUGGUUGCUGUGGAGUAAGGUGGCUGUGGCUCACUCAUCUCUCCUGGGGCUAACAAAGAGCUGGCGGGAGCAGAUGCCUUCAAGCUCAUCCCAAGUCGUUUACUGCCCACCUGCUUUCAGCAUUUGUCCCACCCAAGCUCAACCUCGAGGCUGUGAAAAGGAGUCCUCAGCAGAUGGAGGCAAUAGUAGUGCCAUUUCUAGGGCCGGCGUUAAAGGAUCAGAGCACAUGGGAGCAGUUUUGAGCUAUUGGGACUGGAUUUGCUGUCUGCCUGUUCCAAAAUAAUUUAUAGCACUGAAAAUCAGUGUAAUUCUCUCCCUGUUAAGAGGAAAGUUUAGCAUCCUCCACAGACAGACAUGUCUUCGAAACCUGAUGCAAUGCAUUCCAGCUUCUCAUGACAGAGAAAACACAAGCCCAUUCAAGGAUCACGGAAGGACACAAUUUUAGAUCUUUUCUGCUAAGAAGUGUUAUUAAGAGUGGAGCUUUUUAAUUCCAUAAUUUCACUUGUACAUACACACUCAGAGAUGAAUAUUAAGACAUAGAUAAUGACUCAGAAAUGUCAGACAGAGCAGAGCAAAGUCUACAGUGCAAGAGCAGAGGGAGAGAAUAGCUGCAGCAAGUACAGCUCAAAGUCAGCUUUGUGGAGGAGAAGCAAAAGGGCUGUAGGCUUUGAAAGCCAGUGGCUCCUGGGUGUAACUUGUGCCUGCUUUUAUGAAGUGGUACUGUAGGGAAGAAUCCUGCACAUUGUGACAAUAUUUCAUGACAGCGAGUUUUGGGAAGUUCUCCAAUACUGUGACAAGCCAAAUCUCAAGAACUGUGAUAGAUGAAUCUCCAAGUGUUGGAAAUUAUGUGGUUUGUCUACACAAAGAAUUUGCAGUGGCUUUAAAUAUCCUGAUGGAGUUAAAACUCUGUGAUAUUUCCUUUACUGUGAAUGAACAUUAUAUUUGUAUAAAGGUGUAUGAUGCCAAUACAACCAUUUCAGUAUGGGGGGGGG